UCAAAUGUUGUGAUGAAGAGCUUAAUAACAUUGAUUUAUAAAGAGAACUCUUGGUUGGUGUGAAAGAGGAUAAGUUAGUUAUUAAGUAUGGCUUUUGAACUACUGUAUCGAUAUGUAGGUAUGGUCGUAUGUAGGCGUUAACUAUUUAAGUGUAUAAUAUCAAGAUUAUUAUAAAUAAAGGUGGUACCGCGGGUUAGUUCGUCCUUUUG
rnacentral:ncRNA from 1 species